GCUUUCUUUCUUCCCCCGGCCCCACCCGAUUCCCACCUCCGCCUCUAGCCCCUGUUUCGAGUUUCCGUCUCACACACGGGGCAGCGACGGCCCCCAUCCGGACUUCUGCGGCCGCCGGCGCGUCCCCUAUGGCCGCCAGAGGGAUCCCGGCGGCCCUCGCUCCGGCCCCUUGUGGUUCCAGUCACUGUGAGGGAGAGGAGAAGGAGAGGGAGAAGGAGAAGAAGAAAGAGAGGGAUUGCUGGCGGUGGCGCCGGCUGGUGGCUUCCAUGUUCGAAAGGAUUGGAGAAAGGAUAGGAAAAGGCACGUUUCUUUAUUUUUUUGUGUUUCUCAACUUUGCCGAAUUUUCCAGAAAGGUUACUCGCUCGAAUUAAUACUUCUUAGUGCGCUGGGGAAAGAAAGGUACUUCUUUUAAUUUCCAUCGUCAAUGCAAGAAAAGUAAUCUUGAAAAGUAGGGUUCUUUUUUUAGUGCGAUCUUGCCAUAGGUAUCGAAUUCGAUGAGUUUUUCAAAUGUUGAGUGCGACU
rnacentral:lncRNA from 1 species